rnacentral:lncRNA from 1 species
GCUGAAUAGCUCAGGAGUUCCAGCUCUGGGGUGUCCAAAUGCUGCCAUGAGGGCUAUGUGUGCAUAAAUACGUGUGUGGAAGCUUGCACUCCCCACCAGCGCUCUUAUCAGGCACCUUGUUUCUACAACCAAUAGAACUGCUGCAGUAAUCGCCAUCCCCAUUCUGCCUACGUUUCAUUACAUCCCUUUCUUUAUGCAGCAGGGAAUAAUUGGACUUAGUAGUUGCCGUGAAACCAAUUUUUGCUUCUUUUCAACUAGAUCCAGCUUCCUGUGUGGCUUCAUGCCAUCAGCAGCUCAUUUGGAUGCCUUGGAUCAUUCAGGAGAGGCACACUAUUCUCCGCAGAAGUACUACUACAUGCAGGAUAUAGUUGUGGCGCUCCAAAGCGUACCUCAGGAAUUUCCAGUCUGCAUAUACACUUCUUGUUGA